rnacentral:rRNA from 1 species
AGAGUUUGAUCCUGGCUCAGGAUGAACGCUAGCGGUAGGCCUAACACAUGCAAGUCGAACGGUAACAGGAAGAGCUUGCUCUUCGCUGACGAGUGGCGCACGGGUGCGUAACACGUAUGUAACUUGCCCUCUACUGGGGGAUAGCCCCGAGAAAUCGGGAUUAAUACCCCAUAAUAUCAUCAAUUCGCAUGUUUUGAUGAUUAAAACUCCGGUGGUAGAGGAUAGGCAUGCGGCCCAUUAGUUUGUUGGUGAGGUAACGGCUCACCAAGACUACGAUGGGUAGGGGGUCUGAGAGGAUGAUCCCCCACACUGGUACUGAGACGCGGACCAGACUCCUACGGGAGGCAGCAGUGAGGAAUAUUGGGCAAUGGACGAAAGUCUGACCCAGCCAUACCGCGUGCAGGAAGACGGCCCUAUGGGUUGUAAACUGCUUUUAUUUGCCAAGAAACCCCCCUACGUGUAGGGGGCUGACGGUAGCAUUUGAAUAAGCACCGGCUAACUCCGUGCCAGCAGCCGCGGUAAUACGGAGGGUGCAAGCGUUAUCCGGAUUUAUUGGGUUUAAAGGGUUCGUAGGCGGAAAAAUAAGUCAGUGGUGAAAGCCUGUAGCUCAACUAUAGAAUUGCCAUUGAUACUGUUUUUCUUGAAUAUACUUGAAGUGGGCGGAAUGUGUCAUGUAGCGGUGAAAUGCUUAGAUAUGAC